UGACGUCACCGCUCAAGCCAUCCUGUGACACUCUGCUUUGAAGUCCUCACACAGGCCCUCAGAAGCGUUUGUAAUAAUUAUAGUCUCUACCCCCAACAGCUUAAAUAUUCGCACUGGGAAAGUCACCUAGAAGAAAAAAAGUCUCUUUAGACCACACACUGGAUGGCAAGAUUACAGCCCUGGCAUGCUAAAGAUCCCCACAUCCUGUAUAACAGUGAAGGAUGCCGAGAUGAUGGCGCUCAUGGUACAUCGAGGCACCAAGACAGUGAUUCAUCUGCAGAUGAGAGCCAAGACUUAUCCAGAUGCUGACUCCUACAACAGAAAUUGUGGCAGCACGUUCCCAGAACAGGUUGAUAUCUCAAACUUUGACCUGGUAAUGGAAUCGGACACAAGGCACAUUUGCACCACUUGGCCUUCAGUUCACUGGAAGAAGCAAAACCCGAGCAAUCAUGAAGCGGGUCUUUAUCAACGUCACUGGCCUGUCUGAGCAUGGAGAAGGAACUGACAUUGACUUCUGGAAGCAAGGUGGCGUACCAGAUAGGACUGGAUGAUCAGUUCACUUUAGUUACCUUUUGUUGAUGUGAAGGCAUAAGAAGUUUUUUUGGAUAUUUGUUUUUAAACGUUCAGUCUUUAGAAUUGUUGAUGACCUGGCUGUCCUGCAUUACCUCUGGUAAUAUGUAGUAUAUUUGACAUGUUUGAUAGAACAGUCUGGUACCUAUUAAGUGUUUUUUUUACAGCAAAGGAAGAAAGAAAUAGAUCAUUUUUGUCGACUGGGUUAAUGUAGU